GCCAGAGUGGUGAAAUUGGUAGACACAGCGGACUUAAAAUCCGCCGGGCACAUAAGCCCUUGCCGGUUCGAUCCCGGUCUCUGGCACCA
rnacentral:tRNA from 4 species